GGCCGUUGCUAUACUGCAAGUCGAACGCGUUGGCCCAAUUGAUUGACGGUGCUUGCACCUGAUUGAUUUUGGUCGCCAACGAGUGGCGGACGGGUGAGUAACACGUAGGUAACCUGCCCAGAAGCGGGGGACAACAUUUGGAAACAGAUGCUAAUACCGCAUAACAACGUUGUUCGCAUGAACAACGCUUAAAAGAUGGCUUCUCGCUAUCACUUCUGGAUGGACCUGCGGUGCAUUAGCUUGUUGGUGGGGUAACGGCCUACCAAGGCGAUGAUGCAUAGCCGAGUUGAGAGACUGAUCGGCCACAAUGGGACUGAGACACGGCCCAUACUCCUACGGGAGGCAGCAGUAGGGAAUCUUCCACAAUGGGCGCAAGCCUGAUGGAGCAACACCGCGUGAGUGAAGAAGGGUUUCGGCUCGUAAAGCUCUGUUGUUAAAGAAGAACACGUAUGAGAGUAACUGUUCAUACGUUGACGGUAUUUAACCAGAAAGUCACGGCUAACUACGUGCCAGCAGCCGCGGUAAUACGUAGGUGGCAAGCGUUAUCCGGAUUUAUUGGGCGUAAAGAGAGUGCAGGCGGUUUUCUAAGUCUGAUGUGAAAGCCUUCGGCUUAACCGGAGAAGUGCAUCGGAAACUGGAUAACUUGAGUGCAGAAGAGGGUAGUGGAACUCCAUGUGUAGCGGUGGAAUGCGUAGAUAUAUGGAAGAACACCAGUGGCGAAGGCGGCUACCUGGUCUGCAACUGACGCUGAGACUCGAAAGCAUGGGUAGCGAACAGGAUUAGAUACCCUGGUAGUCCAUGCCGUAAACGAUGAGUGCUAGGUGUUGGAGGGUUUCCGCCCUUCAGUGCCGGAGCUAACGCAUUAAGCACUCCGCCUGGGGAGUACGACCGCAAGGUUGAAACUCAAAGGAAUUGACGGGGGCCCGCACAAGCGGUGGAGCAUGUGGUUUAAUUCGAAGCUACGCGAAGAACCCUUACCAGGUCUUGACAUCUUGCGCCAACCCUAGAGAUAGGGCGUUUCCUUCGGGGAAACGCAAAUGACAGGUGGCUGCAUGGAUCGUCGUCAGCCUCGUGUCGUGAGAUUUGGGCUAGGUCCCCGCAACCGAGC
rnacentral:rRNA from 2 species